rnacentral:piRNA from 1 species
UGUGCUGUAUGGCCCUAUAAAAUCCCUGAA